UACGGGGGGGGCAAGCGUUGUUCGGAAUUACUGGGCGUAAAGGGCUCGUAGGUGGCCAACUAAGUCAUGCGUGAAAUCCCUCGGCUUAACCGGGGAACUGCGUCUGAUACUGGAUGGCUUGAAUCCGGGAGAGGGAUGCAGAAUUCCAGGUGUAGCGGUGAAAUGCGUAGAUAUCUGGAGGAAUACCGGUGGCGAAGGCGGCAUCCUGGACCGGCAUUGACGCUGAUGAGCGAAAGCUAGGGGAGCAAACGGG
rnacentral:rRNA from 1 species